GACACACAACAUUGUUAUGAAAAAGAAAAAUUUUGUGUGUCUAUCACCUUAACAAUACACAUUCAAGAAGCACAUCCAAAGAAUGAUUUCUUUCAAUGGUGCUUCACAGAGACAGGAAAAAAUGCAGCAUUCUCCAGCAGAAAAUCUAAAGGAUAUUCCCUGGGUCAGAGCAAAAGAGAAUUGAUACAGAAACCAAAGUCCAACCUGAAAGGACGAUAAAUAUUUAUCUGGAACCCCCCGCAAACAAAAGCCAAGACACCAAAUGCAGGCAUGGAAAAAAUGCAAGAACAAGAAUCCUCUACCCAAGAAGUACAGAACAAGCAUCCAUGAGACAACGAAACAGAAGACAGUAGUUGCAGAACUCGUUAAGAGCUUCGAACAACCUAACAAGUGUCUAUAACGAAUGGAACUCUUGCAUGUUUUUCAUCCAUACGCCGUGUAGAACAUGAU
rnacentral:misc_RNA from 1 species